GUCUCGUCUUUGGGGGGAUUUACUGAAUGCUGAUAGAGACUGAUUGCUAGGAGUGUAAGCCGCUUGGGUGCUUUUCCUAUUCGUCCGCUAGCAGCUAUUCGUAUGGUUCUAGUUCGUGAGUUUGGAGUGCUAUAUUGUAUGCAGUUUGGGAGAUUAGAGCAUUCCCUUAUUUGUGGUUCGGGAGUUUGGUGUUCUACAGUAGCUGUGCCUGCAUCUCAG